UUUUUUUUCUUUUAACCACUGAGCAGUCUAGUUUGAAGAUUAAUAAGGCCAUUCUUCAUACUAAUUUCACACUUAAUGCAAUUUCAUGCUUUGGUAAAUUCCCUUACUCAAGUGCUCAGAUAGUACAGUGAUGCAUUCCACCAAACACACUUACAAAACAAACUUGUCAACCUGCUACUGUCAAGAGUGAGAACACAUAAUCUGAACUUGUUCUAUUUUAAUGUUCACUCGAAUACUUGAUGCCUCCAGUCCAACAAGUCUCUGAACUUCUCUGGAACAAGAAAGUUAAGACACAUCCUAGUGCUUUCUCUGCAACUCUGAGGUGACUUCCAGAAAGUGUUUCUACAUGCUGUUGAAAGUCCAAGUUCACAACUCUUACCUGAAGGGGGGAAUUUAGCCUGGAACUCCUUUUUUAACCCCAAUAGUUCACAAACUAAAUCACUUUACCUCCCCAGAUUCUCAAACUCUUGUGUUAUAUUCUAACCUUCUCCCUUUUCUAUAAAAAUAAAAUAAAGGUCUUCUUAUGCUUCCACAUCCAUUUUCAUGAGCAAACUUUUCUAAUGUCAUUCAGCAGGUGUCACAGGAUUUCUGCAAAACUUACAAGACACCUUUUGUAAAUGAGAACUCUAACCGCUGAAGAGACUGAACAGCUGGGCAAGGGUCACACUGCAUGUGCAUCACUUGGACAUGCGAUGCAAUGUUUGAAUAAUUAUUAGAUUUUUUGCCCUUGAGGCCCUUCCUCUUUCAAACUUCCCUAGUACAAUUCUCAAAAUGCUGAAAUAAUCACAUUCCACGGACUUUCCUAUAAGAGGGUUUAUGGUGUCUUAUGAAUGCUGUUUUCCAGAAAAGCCUAUGCUGUCAACUUUGUUUUUCAAUGUCUUUAAGCAAUUCUAUUAGUCAUAGAGAAAAAGUGAGCAUUUGCUAAUGAUUAGAGAGAGAGAGAGAAAGAGAGUAAGCAUCUGAGUCCUAGGGCUGAGGAAGGGAGUGGCCAGAAUUGGUCUUAGCUGGGAGGGGAGAUAGAGACCAAGGCAACAACACCCAAAUUGGACCACAGAAAAGUUGUAAUUCCCAAAGACAACUUCUAAUGUUUCGGUGGGUACUUAAGUUACAAGUAUCAGCAUUUUCACGAGAAAACGAAGCCUCAACCAGGGGCUCCAAGCAAAUGAAGAAGGAGUAAGGGAAUGUGCCUGACUGGAUUGCAAAACCUUUUCAAAAUCAGGUGCUCAGUGACAGCUAAAGGUGUCUUCCUUCAUAGCCUUUGGCCCUGGCUUGUGUGCAGACUCAGAUAAGAGGAAGAGACAGCAAAGGCAAAGCGCCUUCCUGUGCAGGCAGGCCUCCCUCAGGAGCUCUCCCCGCCCCUUCCUCCCUUCCCUCAGGCAGGGGCCCGCCCGCUCGAGGCUCGCUCCCCGGCC
ensembl:antisense Gm13556 predicted gene 13556